rnacentral:rRNA from 1 species
UACGUAGGUGGCGAGCGUUAUCCGGAUUUACUGGGUGUAAAGGGCGCGUAGGCGGCCUGUCAAGUCAGAUGUGAAAUCCCCGGGCUUAACCCGGGAACUGCAUUUGAAACUAAUGGGCUUGAGUAUCGGAGAGGCAGGCGGAAUUCCGUGUGUAGCGGUGAAAUGCGUAGAUAUACGGAGGAACACCAGUGGCGAAGGCGGCCUGCUGGACGACAACUGACGCUGAGGCGCGAAAGCGUGGGGAG